rnacentral:rRNA from 1 species
CAACAAGGCUUAAGUAUUAUGAAGGCAUCAGAUCCUGGCUGAUCUUGGAAGUUAAACAGAAUCAGGCCUGAUUUGUACUUGUAUGGGAUACCACAAAAAUACCAGGUACUGUAGC